rnacentral:rRNA from 1 species
GAUGAACGCUGGCGGCGUGCCUAAUACAUGCAAGUCGAGCGAACAGACGAGGAGCUUGCUCCUUUGACGUUAGCGGCGGACGGGUGAGUAACACGUGGGUAACCUACCUAUAAGACUGGGAUAACUUCGGGAAACCGGAGCUAAUACCGGAUAAUAUUUCGAACCGCAUGGUUCGAUAGUGAAAGAUGGCUCUGCUAUCACUUAUAGAUGGACCUGCGCCGUAUUAGCUAGUUGGUAAGGUAACGGCCUACCAAGGCAACGAUACGUAGCCGACCUGAGAGGGUGAUCGGCCACACUGGAACUGAGACACGGUCCAGACUCCUACGGGAGGCAGCAGUAGGGAAUCUUCCGCAAUGGGCGAAAGCCUGACGGAGCAACGCCGCGUGAGUGAUGAAGGUCUUCGGAUCGUAAAACUCUGUUAUUAGGGAAGAACAAACGUGUAAGUAACUGUGCACGUCUUGACGGUACCUAAUCAGAAAGCCACGGCUAACUACGUG